AACGUGCUCAUAAUAAGGUGCGAAGAAUUGAUUAUAUUAUGGGUCGCUAGUGAAUGGGCGUCUAAACCAUAGAUGGCGACUGGAGCGUGUCUCUUUGUGUGAGAUUGCGUUUCGUUUCAGGGUCGGAGUGUGCAAAUUGGCAAAUUUCGGGUAAAACAAACGUCGUGGGGGUUCAAAAACAUAUAAUAAGGCACUAGAAUGGUGUUGGCAAGCUUAUGAUUUGUGAAUACAAAAAUAGAAGGGAUAAAGAUUUUCUAUUGUUAUAGUUAAGAUUUGUAUGAACGAACAAAUUUUUUGAUGCGUCGAACGAAAACGUGUGAGCAAAGUUCUCGCCGGGGACAGAGUUUCGGUCAUUUUCUGGAAACAGCCACCAUGAGCUGAACAAAAAUAUCCGGGGGGAAGGAUUUAAUGUAGCAGGUCUGCUGAGACCAAAAACCUUAACUAAAAUAUUAUGUUCAGCUCAUUGAAAAUAUAAGUUUAUUAAGUCUUGGGAAAAUCGCAGGAGUCUUCCUUCCCGUUGGCAAUGAAUUCGUAUAUUUAAUAUUUGGGGGAAUAAUGGGCUAGAGAGAGCUGAUAUUAUCAGGUAAGAAAUAUUUUUCACCUUACGGGACAUUGGGCGGGGUCAUUGACCACGCCGGUAGAACUUAACAAUGACGUGUCAUUUCUUCGUUUCAGUGGGAAAAAUAAAAAUAGGAAAAUAAGAAAGAAAGAUAUAAGAAUGAGUUUCGAGAACCUUUGAGAAUGUAAAAGGGUAAUUUAGGAGUUUUUACGAGUUUCGAAGAGGUUGUACGAAUCCGUCGUGACGUCGCGGGAUUCGUGGAAGGCUUUAAGAAGAUAAUCAUUUGCCGGUUACAACAUCCGGGAACGUCGCAAGCUGAGGCAGACGGAGUAGCCGUACCAGGUCAAGGGAGUCCGGCAGGACAUAUAACCGGGUAAAGACCCAGACAAGGUCAGUCCUAUCUUGUUUACCAAGCUUGCGUUGAUCUUCGGUGUUAUGGACGAGCACAUAUCUAUACAGUGUUAAUUUCGGGGGGGAAUUUUGGAUAUUUGGACAUUGGAUCUGAACCGUGUUCUGAUAUAAUUUAAAGUUUAGUGCUUAACGAUUUAUGGUGGUAUUUUGUAUUGUGGUAUUUUGUAUUUUGGUAUUUUGUAUUUCGUACGUGGUAUUUUGUAUUUUGGUAUUUUGUACGCGGUAUUUUGGUAUAUUAUGAUACUUGUGUAAUUUUGUCCAACAGCAAAUAUAUGCUGUUUGAGGAUUCUAUAGAAGUACAUGCUUAAUUAAAGGUUUAGUUAUGCUUUCUCUUACGGAGGUGGGAAUGUGGGAAGAUAAACAAAUUUUCCGUUUGGUUGGUUGGUGACCGGUAGUGUGAUUUGGACCCACGGGCUCUCAAUUCAACGACUGAGAUACCGGGACAUCAGAGCCUUUAAGUCCGGUCCAAGUAACCCACAUCUUCUUUCCUCCGUGGGACGAGAAAAACAUCACUCGCACUAAGCGUAUAUGAUUUAUCAUAGUUUCUAGUUAUCUAAUAAGAAAUAACUGACGAAUAAAGAAUUUCUGGACUUUC